CUCAUCCGUCAGUGUGCUCUCCAUCCCUUAACAGAGGCAGGCAAACCACAAGCAGUGAUCAGUGGAGAAAUCAUCAGUCCUUAUCACCUUUGCACUCCUCCUGCAACAUGAAGCUGACAGAUAAAUGGUUUAAGGAGCCAGGUGGAAAUAUGCCUUGUGGAAGAGAAUCCCUGGUAGCUUGGAAACCUUAGCAUCUGGCCAUCAGCUGAAAACCUGAAAAAAUUAAGAGAAAGGUUAUUAGUCAGCAGGAGUUUCAGGCAGCAACUAAGUGCAGGUUUGGCGUGGAGAUUACUGAUGAAGAGUUUGAGCUGCCACUUGACAGAAUCCCCCUUGAUGAAGAUGGAAAUGUCAGAUACCCCCACUUGAUGGCCAGGUUUGAUUCCCG